AGGAAAAGAAACCAACAGGGAUUCCCUUAGUAACGGCGAGUGAACCGGGAAAAGCUCAAAUUUGAAAUCUGCCAACAGGCCGAGUUGUAAUUUGUAGAUGGCUACACUGCAUAAUAGUAGAUGCUCAAGUUCUUUGGAAAAAGACAUCAUGGAGGGUGACAAUCCCGUGAGGCAUGUUACUAGGAGCAUAUAGUGGGCUUUCUAAGAGUCGAGUUGUUUGGGAAUGCAGCUCAAAGUGCGUGGUGAAUACCAUGUAAAGCUAAAUAUGGACGAGAGACCGAUAGCGAACAAGUACUGUGAAGGAAAGAUGAAAAGCACUCCGAAAGGAGAGUGAAAUAGUACGUGAAAUUGUUAAAGUGGAAGGGCUUGAGAUCAGAAUUGGUAGUUUGGGUUCCACGUCCUCUUGGGGGCGUGUACUCCCUUUCCACCGGGCCAGCGGGAGUUUCGUCUCUUGGGUAAAAGCAGUGGAAUGUAGCAGCUUGUCUGUAUUAUAGCCUCUGUUCAUACAAGACGUCGAGACUUGUUUUUGUUGGCGUAAUGAUCUCUAGCCACCCG
rnacentral:rRNA from 1 species